UUUUCCUAGCUGCUCAGACUGUUGGCUGGAGGGAAGACCUUGUUGGGUACAGAGGCAGAAGGCUUCCAUUCUUGACAGCAGAGACAACUUAGCACUUGUGAGAAGCCCUAGCAGGCUCCUUCCUCUCCCCCAUAUCUCCCUCCUGCAGCCCCCCCCCCCCACAUCCCAACAGCUUUAAGAGCCGUCAGCUGCGGAUCCCCACCAGAAGACAGAUUGGCUGCAUAGGCAGGUGAAGGCGCAUGGUCCCUUGGGAGUCUGGAACCAGAAAGGAUACUGCUGAGUAGUCAAACCCACAUCCAUUGGACAGAUGGGGCCACUGAGCCCAAUAGAAGGAAGAAACAAUGGACUUUACAGGAGGCCUCUGUCACCUCUCCACUCCACAGCUAACAGCUCCCUGUUCUGGGAUGACCAGCUCAGGAGGACUGUGCCGUGCAAUUGGCUCCCACAGACUCACUCCCCUCACAUGACUGGGGGACCGAGAUCAUAGAGGCCGAGGCUUAUUGCUACUUUUGAAUCUUAUCCCCUCCUCCUUUUCAGAUUUUAAAUAUAUGUGUCAUGGGCAGGAGGGAGAAUCGAAAUCGAAUCGCCCUGUUCAUCGCCGCAGUAUUUUUUUCUUGUCAUUCUCGUAAUAAUAAUAUAGCAAAUUCUGUAGCCUUCCAUUUUCC
ensembl:antisense Gm13257 predicted gene 13257